GUCUAGUCUCUCUGUCUUCCUGUUCCAAACCACGUGGACGCGCCGGGGGCGGUGGGGCUGCGGGAGGCAGCCAGGGCCGCCACCGUCGUAGUAUUCCCCGCCGCUUGCGUUGCACCUCCGCGCCUGUCUGAAGUCGCCGCUUCCGGACUGCCAGCGCCUCUGCAGAGGGUGCGCACAUGGCGACCCAGGCACAGUGCCUCAGCUACGCGGGGUGCAACUUCUUGCGCCAGCGUCUGGUCCUGUCUACCCUGAGCGGGCGUCCGGUCAAAAUCCGAAAGAUACGGGCCAGAGACGACAACCCGGGCCUCCGAGAUUUUGAAGCCAGCUUCAUAAGGCUAUUGGACAAAAUAACUAAUGGUUCUCGAAUUGAAAUAAAUCAAACAGGAACAACUUUAUAUUAUCAGCCUGGCCUCCUGUCUGGUGGAUUUGUGGAACAUGACUGUAGUGUCCUUCGCAGCAUUGGCUAUUAUCUGGAGAGUCUUCUUUGCCUGGCUCCAUUUAUGAAGCACCCAUUAAAAGUAGUUCUGCGAGGAGUGACCAAUGACCAAGUUGAUCCUUCGGUUGAUGUUCUUAAGGCAACAGCACUCCCUCUGUUGAAACAGUUUGGGAUUGAUGGUGAAUCAUUUGAGCUAAAGAUUAUACGACGGGGGAUGCCUCCUGGAGGAGGAGGUGAAGUGAUGUUUUCCUGUCCUGUACGGAAGGUCCUGAAGCCUGUACAGCUCACAGAUCCAGGAAAAAUCAAACGUAUCAGAGGAAUGGCGUACUCUGUGCGUGUGUCACCUCAGAUGGCGAACCGGAUUGUGGACUCUGCAAGGAGCCUCCUCAACAAGUUUAUACCUGACAUCUAUAUUUACACAGACCACAUGAAGGGCGUCAACUCUGGGAAGUCUCCAGGCUUUGGGUUGUCACUGGUUGCUGAGACCACCAAUGGCACCUUCCUCAGUGCUGAGCUGGCCUCCAACCCCCAGGGCCAGGGAACAGCAGUGCUUCCAGAGGACCUUGGCAGGAACUGUGCCAGGCUGCUGCUCGAGGAAAUCUACAGGGGUGGCUGUGUGGACUCCACCAACCAAAGCCUGGCUCUACUGCUCAUGACCCUUGGACAGCAGGACGUUUCCAAAGUCCUGCUAGGACCACUCUCUCCCUACACGCAAUUAAAGGCAUUGUGCCUGAGAUCUGUAAGCUUGAAGGACCUAUGAAAAUGCUUCCAAGAAACCAGGUUAAAAAAAAAAUACUGGCUGCAAAUUAUGCAAAGAGCAAAAAUAUCUACAAAAUGAAAUGCUUCCCAGCUUGUUAAAAUAUUGAAGACAAUACAGAUAUGCCAUGAACAAUGUCUUGAAACAGUAUCUGGCACAGAGUAGGCAUUCAACAAAUAUUAAUUCAAUGAAUUAAUGAACACAGCACAGAAAAAAAACUAGACGGGUGUUGAAGUGAGGACUGAAUGAUCCAAUCUGCAGCUGGAUUCCCUCAUGGUUUUGAGAUGGAUGCCAGCAGCAACUGCAGCUUCUUUCACAGACUUCAGGUGAGAGAAAAUUGCUUCUCCGAUGUCAUUCUUUUUGUUUUUAUUUUUUUCACAAUCAGCUAAAAUUUUGUGAGUACAAGUAUUUUGUGCAUGUGUUAUGGAGUAUAAUGGGGUCUUCUCUGUUCAGGUAGAGUUGGACAGUGGCUCAGAAUUCAUCUAGUCCCAUUUCUAGAGAAGCCUGCAAAAUAUCUCAGGGCUGGCAUUGGAGAUGUGCAUACCUCCAGAAACGGGGAUCUUAUUACCUCAACAAGCCCCUUCCACAGUUGGGGACCUCCAGCUGCUGCCAUUUUCCUGCUGGCAGCCUCUAAGUUAGGUUGAAUGGGGGCAGAUACUAUCAUUCUAGCCCAGCCCUUGGGAUGAGAGAGGCAGCUGAGUGGGACAGAGACAGGAAAAGUAAGAAGUUAAAGCCCAGGAUGACUGAGCCAUGGCAGGGUGGAUGGGACAUUUCAGCGGAUCCCAGAAGCCCCUGCCUUACUCCAGCAGGUGCUGGAGAGAGACUACUGGAGGCAAGAUUCCAGGUGUGGGGCAGCUCAGAAAGCUGGGUUAUCAAUGUCCCUCUGAACCCCAGUAUAUCCUUCAGGCUGGGGGGAUUGGAGGGCUCUGUGGGAGUUAGGCCCAAGGAGGGCUUCAUAAUGACCUCAAGCAGCCCAAGAAGAAUUGUUCCCCUGGCUGCAGCUGUCACCACAAUGUUUGAAUGCUUUGGGGCAGGUGCUGCCCCAUGGUUGGCUGGCAGAGGGAGGGAGGAGAUGGAGGCUCCCUCUCUGGGUGGGAAAGUGGGAGGAUGGAUUCUGGCUGAAUUGGGAGAGGGUGGGGAUGAGAUGCCCCCACCCAGGAAAGCAGGCAGGGGAUGAUUUGGGUUGUUUCUUUCACACUCCACCCCAGAUUGGAAAUUACAGCCAAAGCCCCAGACUUACAAGGAGAGGUCACAUUUGGCUGCAACCUGUUGGAGGCCAACCAGCAGGCUGAGCAGCAAAGUAGGUUUCAGGCCCAAGACCCAAGUGUGGGACAUCCUGGCAUGGGGGCCACUAGCUUUAGUGUCUCAUCAUUAGUCUCUCUUAAGGCCAAGAAAACCUACCUAGAAGUCUUCAGCAACCAUCUCCUUGUGUCUUAUUGGCUGAAACUAAGUCAUAUGCUCAUUCCUACACCUAUCACUGGUUGACUUAUACUAAUCUAUCUGCCUUUGGAACCAGCUUCAUUCAAUCAAAAAUGCUACACAAGGAAGGGGAGAUACCUGAACAAAAUUGAGCUUCUGUAGGAAGGAUGAGGGAAAGAAUGAAUUCUGGGAAGAUAACCAACAUUAUCCACCUCUACGUAUUCUCCAACAGUAGCUUCUGAGAAAUGGCCUUGCUCUUUUCUUAAAGAUGCUUCAUAUUUUGUUUAUAGUAACUUGGGACAUUAUGUUUGACUCUCCAUUGACAGUUGAAAGCUCAAAGAUAAAUUUUGUGGCUCACUUAUAGGAAACAUGCAGAAAACUGUGGUAGUUUGUCUUCCCUUCCCUUCAUUCUUGCCUCCUAUUUAUGCUCCUAUUCUCUC